GGCUUUAAAAGGAGCUGCAUCCUACCGUAAUCAUACUGGUGCUUUAAAAGAACCUGCAUCCUACCGGUGCUUUAAAAGGACCUGCAUCCUACCGGUGCUUUAAAAGGACCUGCAUCCUAAUCAUACUGGUGCUUUAAAAGGACCUGCAUCCUACCGUAAUCAUAAUGGUGCUUUAAAAGGACCUGCAUCCUACCGUAAUCAUACUUGUGCUUUAAAAGGUCCUGCAUCCUACCGUAAUCAUAAUGGUGCUUUAAAAGGACCUGCAUCCUACCGUAAUCAUAAUGGUGCUUUAAAAGGACCUGCAUCCUACCGUAAUCAUACUUGUGCUUUAAAAGGACCUGCAUCCCACCGUAAUCAUAAUGGUGCUUUAAAAGGACCUGCAUCCCACCGUAAUCAUAAUGGUGCUUUAAAAGGACCUGCAUCCUACCGGUGCUUUAAAAGGACCUGCAUCCUACCAGUGCUUUAAAAGGACCUGCAUCCUACCGUAAUCAUACUUGUGCUUUAAAAGGUCCUGCAUCCUACCGUAAUCAUAAUGGUGCUUUAAAAGGACCUGCAUCCUACCGUAAUCAUACUGGUGCUUUAAAAGGACCUGCAUCCUACUGUAAUCAUAAUGGUGCUUUAAAAGGACCUGCAUCCUACCGUAAU
ensembl:lncRNA